GAAUAGCGAGCACUGGAAAAAGGUGUUCGGUCCUUCUUUAUUCAUCUUAAUUCUGCUUCUUCCAAUAAUGAUCACCGCAAGACACUUUGGAAUGACGCUCAAAAACAGUUGAGUGAAGAAAUCGAAAGCUGACUUUACAAUUUCACUCGAUCCAAAGAUUUUACUCAUGCUGAACAACGAGGCCAAGUUAGCGGUCAGUUACUUGUGCGAAACUGGUACAAUGAUAAGGAAUUCGUUCCGGCACAAUCUGCCUUUGUGGUGUUGGCUGCUCCUCGAGAUGCAGGAUCAUGGCAACACGGCGGGAAGGGUUAUCAAUUUUGGACUCAAUCCGACAACAAUGGACGUUUCGAAAUAAAAAAUGUCCGACCGGAAUUGCAUAAUUUGUAUGCAUGGGUCCAUGGUUUCAUUGGAGGCUACAAAUUGGAUCUCAACAUCACUAUCCAACCAAGAAACAAGAUUAGCUUGGGUACUCUAAUAUAUG